UCCGCGCGCGCACUCCGCACCUGAGUAUUUCAUUUCAGCACUGCGCCUCCUCUGAGUCUGGGAACUUCACACUGGAAAUGGAGAUGAUGCAUUUUGGAGAUAGUUAAUUGUCUGCAUAAUUCAUUGCUGCUCUCUCUCCACAUGACCUGGUCUUGAAGAAAGGCAUAUGUCAAUGAAAUGGAGUGAAGGCACAUUUACAUUUUUGAAUUAAAAUAAAGAAUUUAAGAGCAUUUAUAUACUA